CAAGUCCGCUAUUCAGUAGGAGGGUGGCGCCUCGCUGAAGCCCCGAGUCAUGGUCCGCUGCCCGUAAGGUCAGAGGUUAAGCGUUGACAGGGGAAGGUGCAGGCUCGGUAUUGAGCUCCGAAAUCACUCGUCGGGAGUGCCGACCUUGUUGCUUGAAAGGGAAGGCCACACUGCUUUUAGCGCUAUGCGAGCGACCAAGCAGGCUCCCCGGAGUCAGAGACCC
rfam:Alcanivorax pacificus W11-5, complete genome.